ensembl:lncRNA
GCUACACAUAAUUAAAUUUAUUUUUUUUUAAGUGACUGAAAUUUUACAUGUUCAAAAUGAGAAUUCGGGAUAGGUUAGGAGAUGUCCUCGCCUUUGCCAAAUCCCUGAAGUUCUCUCUGGCUGUCUGCCUCCCAUCAGAUCUUUUUAUGAAGGGUGAAAGUAUACACUCAAUGCAUUCGCUGCCGCUGAAUUAGUCUAAGUGAUGCCUACACUGAGAAAAUUAGAAGAUGCUCAGUGAGAGUCACUGCUUGGGAAAUCACAUGCUGGAAAGUUAAGAGUUUAGAAUAUACAGAAUUUAUUUGACUAAAGUGUCACCUAUCUUUCAAUAAGUAGCAUUUUCUUUGCUCAUUGCUUCUUACAUGUUUUUUUUUUUUUCUUUAACAAAGAGGAUGCUGAUCGCAGUAAUGCUUAGUGUUACCGUUCUGUAGCACUUUUUAUAUAAGCCUCUCAAGCUUUCAUUGUUCCUGCAGGAAGGAGGGCAUUAAUUUUACAUGUGGGCAAAGUAGUUCCGAAUUCCUAUUCUUGUUGUUAAUAAUAUUUACUCUUAUGUAAUGACUAUGGUAUGCCAGAAACACAAAUGACCUGUUGGCGGUGGCAGAAUAAGUAAACAUGGGAAAGCCUUCUAGAAAACACAAUUCUGUAAGGAAAAAAAAAAAAAUGUUGGUGGGCUGCUGGCCUUUGAAACCCACCUAAGGCGAUGAUAAGUGGAGUCUGAUACCUGAAGCCCAAAGUCCUAGUCGGUGGAGGAGGCAACGUGUUUAAAUAGGAUUUGCUUUUAUUAAUAGGCAGUUCUAUUCUCCGCCUUGAGAUCAAGGGGGAAUCUAGUGGGAAGAGAUCAGCCUCACCCGCGCCCCAACUCCUUCCUGCCUGUGCCUCUCUGCCAGCCACCCCAUCUCUCCCUCCGAUCUCCUGUGCCCUCCCACCCCGCACACGCACCCAAUAUUGUUUCUUCCCGCAGGCUCUGCUGCAGGAAUGUCAGACAUCACGGCUCACAUUCAGAGCUCAGCUUGCUAUGAACGUAGCCAGGGGAUGGAGGGUAGGGGGAGGAAAGAGGGCUGUGCGGUCCUCAGCUGUUUCUCCACGGAGGAGCUGUCCACAGCCUGGGCUCAGGAUGGAUGUGCCAGUGCUGCACAGGGGCCGUUUCUGCAGGUCUGCGCCACGUCCCUAGGGGGAAGAAAGACCAUAAAAUGCUCUCUGAAUCCAUAAGGACAACUCCGUUGGCACAGAUGGGAAUUUUGCUCUGAUUCCCAGAACAUGAACUAAUAACUGUAAAGGGUUUCUUUGGAAACACCAUAUUCUGUCACCGACCCAUCUUUUACCAUAGCACACACUCCUCAACCAUUCUCUCGUGAUGUUCCCAGGAAGUUAAAGACAGCUCAGAAGAAAAACUGUCGUCUUUAACAAAGAAAUGCAAUAGAUGUUUGUCGUGGGAGAAGGCCUAAUUCAAUUUGCAGUGUCUCUGGGUUUCUAUUUUGACUCAAGUUGUUUUCAGCACAUUCUCUCCAUGUUACCAAAAGUUAGAAAGUAUAUUUUAAGAAAUGCCACCAUUUUUUUUAUAUUUACUGAGAACAACAUGCUCAGGGAUUUAUUUCCAUGAAAAUGUAGACUGCAGAAUUUAGAAACAUGCAAUGUAGAAGAAUCCAACAUGUUUUAGGAUACCACUAAGAUGUAGGAAAGCUUUUGCCAGACAAAUAAGAGGUCUUAAUGUUGGGAAGUAUGGGGGCGCCUGGGUGGCGCAGUCGGUUAAGCGUCCGACUUCAGCCAGGUCACGAUCUCGCGGUCCGUGAGUUCGAGCCCCGCGUCGGGCUCUGGGCUGAUGGCUCGGAGCCUGGAGCCUGUUUCCGAUUCUGUGUCUCCCUCUCUCUCUGCCCCUCCCCCGUUCAUGCUCUGUCUCUCUCUGUCCCAAAAAUAAAUAAACGUUGAAAAAAGAAAAAAAAAAAAAA